GACGAACGCUGGCGGCGUGCUUAACACAUGCAAGUCGAACGGAAAGGCCCUGCUUUUGUGGGGUGCUCGAGUGGCGAACGGGUGAGUAACACGUGAGUAACCUGCCCUUGACUUUGGGAUAACUUCAGGCAACUGGGGCUAAUACCGGAUAGGAGCUCCUGCUGCAUGGUGGGGGUUGGAAAGUUUCGGCGGUUGGGGAUGGACUCGCGGCUUAUCAGCUUGUUGGUGGGGUAGUGGCUUACCAAGGCUUUGACGGGUAGCCGGCCUGAGAGGGUGACCGGCCACGUUGGGACUGGGAUACGGCCCAGACUCCUACGGGACGCAGCAGUGGGGUAUAUUGCACAAUGGGCGGAAGCCUGAUGCAGCAACGCCGCGUGCGGGAUGACGGCCUUCUGGUUGUAAACCGCUUUCGCCUGUGACGAAGCGUGAGUGACGGUAAUGGGUAAAGAAGCACCGGCUAACUACGUG
rnacentral:rRNA from 1 species